rnacentral:rRNA from 1 species
AACGCUGGCGGCGUGCCUAACACAUGCAAGUCGAACGGAGUUCAUUGGAUUGAGGCUUCGGCCAAAUGAAUUUGAACUUAGUGGCGAACGGGUGAGUAACGCGUGAGCAACCUGCCUUUCAGAGGGGGACAACAGUUGGAAACGACUGCUAAUACCGCAUAACACAUCGAGGAGGCAUCUCCUUGAUGUCAAAGAUUUAUCGCUGAAAGAUGGGCUCGCGUCUGAUUAGAUAGUUGGUGAGGUAACGGCUCACCAAGUCGACGAUCAGUAGCCGGACUGAGAGGUUGAACGGCCACAUUGGAACUGAGAUACGGUCCAGACUCCUACGGGAGGCAGCAGUGGGGAAUAUUGGGCAAUGGGCGAAAGCCUGACCCAGCGACGCCGCGUGAAGGAUGAAGGUCUUCGGAUCGUAAACUUCUGUCUUAUGGGAAGAACAAGGACGGUACCAUAGGAGGAAGCCACGGCUAACUACGUG